GAUGAACGCUGGCGGCGUGCCUAAUACAUGCAAGUCGAGCGAACGGACGAGAAGCUUGCUUCUCUGAUGUUAGCGGCGGACGGGUGAGUAACACGUGGAUAACCUACCUAUAAGACUGGGUUAACUUCGGGAAACCGGAGCUAAUACCGGAUAAUAUUUUGAACCGCAUGGUUCAAAAGUGAAAGACGGUCUUGCUGUCACUUAUAGAUGGAUCCGCGCUGCAUUAGCUAGUUGGCAAGGUAACGGCUUACCAAGGCAACGAUGCAUAGCCGACCUGAGAGGGUGAUCGGCCACACUGGAACUGAGACACGGUCCAGACUCCUACGGGAGGCAGCAGUAGGGAAUCUUCCGCAAUGGGCGAAAGCCUGACGGAGCAACGCCGCGUGAGUGAUGAAGGUCUUCGGAUCGUAAAACUCUGUUAUUAGGGAAGAACGUAUGUGUAAGUAACUGUGCACAUCUUGACGGUACCUAAUCAGAAAGCCACGGCUAACUACGUG
rnacentral:rRNA from 1 species